AGAUGGUGUAGAUCAGAUCGAUUUGAUUGCAUUAGAUGAUUUUUCCCCCCUUCUCCACUCCUUUCUGGAAGCUCGCAUCAGCUGAAGGCUAUCGCCUGGGACUCCUCGGAAGCGUGAGCAAGCCGCCACCACGCGAAGGCACUGGGGCACAGCCAGCGCGAGGCGCCAAGGUCCCUUCCCAGGGCUUGUUAACACUGUAACCCGGCACUCGGAGGGAAGCAGCUCCCGCUGCCCAAAGCCUACCUCACCGCACAUCAGAUGACUCCCUGGCUUCUACACACAGUUGGAGUUCCGCUUGAAACCUGGAUUUAGAGGGGUUCUCUCGCUGCCAUGACACUCCAUCAAAGCACCUAGAGUGGGCUGGCUGAGACCAGAGUGGGCACGAAGUAGAGCAAGUACAGAGGAAAACACUGGGAAAUCACCAGAAUUGGAAAUAGAGCAGCCAUUUGGAUUUGAUCAAGAAGCAGCCGAGCUCGGCUUUGGAUCCUUCUUUAGGGAAAUCGAGUUAUGGAUUUAUGGUCCCGGUCAAGCUCAGCCCAGCCCCAGCCAGGGGCGGGCUCAGUAGCAAGAGUUCUGGAGGCAGCAGCGGCAGUAGCAGCGGCAGCAGCGGCAGCGGCAGCGGCAGCGGCAGCUUGGUCCUCUGACUCUCUUCGGUGACGGGUAUUCUUGGGUGGAUAAUACGGAUUACGUUGUUAUUGCUUAAGAAUACGCGUAGUCGAGGAGAGUACCAGCGGCAGGCGGGCAGCGGCCGCCCCUCCCAGCCCACCAGCUGGCCACUAAACGCCCGUGGUUGCCAAGGCAUCCAGAGCCUUUGGUAUGUGCUCUGACUGUAAAAACUGAUGAUGUGGGGAAAGCUUUAAGCUUUGCCUUCACUCAAGCCAG